rnacentral:rRNA from 1 species
UACGUAGGGUGCAAGCGUUGUCCGGAAUUAUUGGGCGUAAAGAGCUCGUAGGCGGUCUGUCGCGUCGGAUGUGAAAACCCAGGGCUCAACCCUGGGCCUGCAUUCGAUACGGGCAGACUAGAGUUCGGUAGGGGAGACUGGAAUUCCUGGUGUAGCGGUGAAAUGCGCAGAUAUCAGGAGGAACACCGGUGGCGAAGGCGGGUCUCUGGGCCGAAACUGACGCUGAGGCGCGAAAGCUAGGGGAGCAAACAGG